UACGGGGGGGGCAAGCGUUGUUCGGAAUUACUGGGCGUAAAGAGCUCGUAGGCGGUCUGUCGCGUCGGAUGUGAAAACCCGGGGCUUAACCCCGGGCCUGCAUUCGAUACGGGCAGACUCGAGUGUGGUAGGGGAGACUGGAACUCCUGGUGUAGCGGUGAAAUGCGCAGAUAUCAGGAAGAACACCGGUGGCGAAGGCGGGAUCCUGGGCCAGUACUGACGCUGAGGAGCGAGAGCGUGGGGAGCAAACAGG
rnacentral:rRNA from 1 species